GAAGGGGGCCCAGAACACAAAGAACUGCUAAUUC
rnacentral:tRNA from 1 species